AUUAUAAAUAUGUGAAUGUCAUGAAUGUCAAACAGGAAAGUGGGAAUUGCUGAGCUGGCAAUGGUUAAUGAAGAAUGAGAAUGAGAUCGAAUGUGGUCAAGGUACUUUUUGUGCCUGAAUGUAAAUAUGAUAGUGAAACUUGUUCAAAUUGUUUUAGGAAGGGGUGAGGAUGAAUGAGGUAGAAGGAUGAGGUGAGUGUGAUUGGAGUACUUUGUAUUCAUGUAUAGAAAUAUCACAAUGAACCCUACUUUACUGUUGGGAGC